CUCUACCGUAACCAAUAACUGUUUUAUGUUCCUUCCCUGCGACGCCGACAGUCUCCGACGAGUUUAGAAGCAAGAUGAUGGCUUCACGAGCAAUCUUGAGAAGAAAGGCAUGCAUCUUAAAUUCCCUAAAGCAACCAUUUUGCUUGAUUCGGGGUUCCUCUAUUUUUGAGCGCGAGCAACUAUCCCGAUCUAAUGAAUUAAAAAGUGCAAACUUGCUUGUAAGCCAACUAUAACCAUAUAUUGAUAAUAGAAGUGAUAAAGAUGCGACUUCAGCUCUUUGGAUUGAUCGUUUGGAUCUUAGAGUUGUAGAAUUUUCAAGCAUAACUUGCUUACAGAAAAAACUUUUGAAAAUCAAGUUGGAAGGGCAGAUUUUGUUUCUUUUCCCAGAGUUGCAUGGGCUUUGUAAUUUAUGCGCUAUACUUCGACAACAGUAGCUCGUCAACCUGAAUUUGGGAGCGGUGAUCAAAGAGAUAUACAACAGGUCUUUGGAAAGGAAAAGGAACCUUCAUGCCAUGAAUGUGAUUAAGCAGUUGAAGGUUUGAGUACAGUUAAAGCAAAAGCAAAGGCUAAGUAGAUGCAUGAAUCUCCAAAUUGUGAUAAAUCUGUAAUGACGAGAAUUUGGCCCAAGCUUUUGGGGACUGGUAUUUCUCUAAAAGUUGUUGCUUCUAUAAGCAGGUUUGGGAAUUUUCUCCUCAUUUUGUUGUUAUUGAUCUCGUUAGAUACAUAUAAUAACCAUAUCAUAUUUCAGGGAGGAAUGGUUAUAUUUCAGGGAGGAAUGGUUUUCUCCUCAUGUUGUUGUUAUUGAUCUCGUUAGAAGUAUAUAGUAACCAUAUCAUAUUUCAGGGAGGAAUGGGUGUGGAAGCUUUGUUAUUGGAAGGAUGAAUUUAAAUCAACAAUGCAGCACUAUUGGUUGGGUACAAAACUCCUUUGUGUUCAUGUUAGGAUCAGCUCAAGGUUGUUGUUGAAGCUUGUUAGUGGCAAGAGUCUUUCAAGAAGGGAGAUGCAACAGCUCAAAUGCACCAUAGUUGAUAUUUUCAAACUAGUCCAUUAGCUGCUUUUAUUAUACUUCCAUUCACGGAACUCUUGUUGCCAGUAAUACUUAAAUUCUUCCCAAAGUUGUUGCUGUCAACCUUAGGGACGAGAUGAAAGAGCUGGAGGAGUUGAAAAGAAAGCUACAUGCAAGAAUAAAGUAUGCAGAGUUUCUUCAAGAUACAGUAAUAGAAAUGGCGACUGAAAUCCAAACCUCACGAAGUGGAGAAGUUAGAAAGACAGCAAAAGAUCUUGAUGAAUUUAUGAACAAGGUUAGAAACGGUGAGCAUGUUUCUAAUGAUGACAUUUUAGGCUUUGCCAAGUUGUUUAGUGAUGAACUUACUUUAGAUAACAUCAGCAGGUUGUAUUUUUCUAUUAUUUAAUUUAAAUUGUUGGGAGCUUGUUUUGUCUUUGCUGUUGGGACUUUACCUGCCCAAGUGAUUUUACAUUGUGAUAGGCCUCCUUUGCGCUUCACUUAUGCCCGUAGGAAGAGAAUGGGGAAGAUAGGAGAGAAGGAGGGGGGAAAUAAGCUGACCACUACUGAAAACAAUGAGGGAGCUGUUGAGUUGGCAAGUGACAGUGCUGAAAGUGCUGAGGUCAUUAGGGGGGCUGAGCUGGCUGAGAUGGACACUGUGAUUGGGGGCUGCAGUGUGGGAAAGGCGUGACUGCUUCAGGAUUCAAGUUAGUUGGUUAGUUAGGGAAUGAGGGAAUAAAAGAAGAGGGAGAGCUCUGUGAGUGGUAUCGAUCAUUAUCAUGAUAUUUUGUACUCAGUCGAGCUUCUGCUCUAGGGAGUGCAAGGGGCCACUCGAAUACCCUCAUAUCCACUUGUAUUUCUUUAAUUGCUAAUAGAACUUCUAAUUUAGUUCCCUCGAUCGAUCAAAUUCCCUUGUUUGCUGUAUGUGCGAUUUGAUUUGAACCAGGUCCUAUCACAUUGUUGUCUGACAAACUUGCUUUUUUGGUUUUUGCAUACAGGCCACGGUUAGUAAAUAUGUGCAAAUGUAUGGGUAUUAGCGCAUAUGGAACAUAUGUGUUUUUGCGUUAUAUGCUUCGAAAAAGACUGCGAUGGAUCAAGGAUGAUGAUAAGAUGAUUCAAGCUGAGGGAAUAGAGUCCCUUUCAGAAAAAGAGCUUAUCUUAGCCUGUCGAGAACGGGGUAUACUUCGAUCAUGUUCAGUGGAGGAAAUGCGGGAAGAGGUUGGUAUUCUUUGGCCAUAUCUGUUUCCCAAUGUUUCUGGACAUUGAGCUGUAUGCAAAAAUUUUCCUAUAUCUGGUAACCUCUGCAGAGCUUUCUUGGUGCAUGGCAAGGUGAAGCCAGAGGUAGCCUUGCAAGCUACACUCUCCUCUCUCCCCGAUGAGGUUGUGGAUAAUGUUGGGGUGACUGCUUUGCCAUCUGAAGACCCCGUUGCAGAAUGCAGGAGAAAGUUGGAGUUUUUAGAAAUGCAGGAAGAGCUGAUCAAGGAGGAGGAAGAGAAAGAGGAAAAAGAGCAGGCCAAGUUGAAGCAAUCUUUUAGUAAAAAACUGGAUGUGGCUUUGGAGAGAUGACUAUUACAACCAGAGAAGCACAGGAACAGACAAGAGCAAAAACAUUAGACAAGAAAGUACAGCUUUGCGAGCUCAGUCGUGCAUUGACUGUUUUGGCUUCAGCAUCUUCAGUCAGCCUAGAGCAUGAGAAGUUCUUGAGACUCAUUUGAAAGGAGGGACUAUGAUGGGAAGGUGACUCCUGAGGAGGUUGAGUCUGCCGCCAUGUAUCUUAACGAUACAUUGGGGAAAGAGGGCCUACAGGAACUUAUUAGCAGCCUUUCCAAGGAUAGAGAUGGAAAAAUCCUAGUGGAAGAUAUUGUUAGAUUGGGCAGUUACAACAGAAGAUGCUGAUGCAAUGGAAGCAAAAUAAUUGUUGCAGUUCAAGUUGAUGGCUCUGCAGGGCAUCUCUUUUAUUUCAUUAAGGUGCUGGUCUAGUGCCAUUCAUUUCUUACACUUCUACCCUUCGGACAUUUCUUUCAUGUUUCCACCUUGGACAAAUCCAAAAAGAUAGUACUGAAGAAACAUUGGGACUCUGUAGCAGUAACUUAUAGGGAUGAUCUCUUAAUUAUCGACAUGAAUGGUACCUAAGCAAGAGUUAAUUUUAUUUAAUUUUGCUUUUCCUUUAACGCUUUGUGAUCAAGUACGACAUAUGUUAAUAAUUUGCUUGGAAAA